AAUAUUGCGCAAUGGGGGGAACCCUGACGCAGCAACGCCGCGUGAGUGAAGAAGGUUUUCGGAUCGUAAAGCUCUGUCAUCGGGGACGAAGAAAGUGACGGUACCCGAGGAGGAAGCCCCGGCUAACUACGUGCCAGCAGCCGCGGUAACACGUAGGGGGCGAGCGUUGUCCGGAAUUACUGGGCGUAAAGGGUGCGUAGGUGGCCAAAUAAGUCAGUUGUGAAAUACCGAGGCUUAACUUCGGGGGUGCAAUUGAAACUGUAUGGCUUGAGUGCAGGAGAGGAAAGUGGAAUUCCUAGUGUAGCGGUGAAAUGCGUAGAGAUUAGGAGGAACACCAGUGGCGAAGGCGGCUUUCUGGACUGUAACUGACACUGAUGCACGAAAGCGUGGGUAGCGAAC
rnacentral:rRNA from 1 species